UUUUAUGAGAGUUUGAUCCUGGCUCAGGACGAACGCUGGCGGCGUGCCUAAUACAUGCAAGUAGAACGCUGAAGUCUGGUGCUUGCACUAGACGGAUGAGUUGCGAACGGGUGAGUAACGCGUAGGUAACCUGCCUCAUAGCGGGGGAUAACUAUUGGAAACGAUAGCUAAUACCGCAUAACAGUAUUUACCGCAUGGUAGAUAUUUGAAAGGAGCAAUUGCUUCACUAUGAGAUGGACCUGCGUUGUAUUAGCUAGUUGGUGAGGUAACGGCUCACCAAGGCUUCGAUACAUAGCCGACCUGAGAGGGUGAUCGGCCACACUGGGACUGAGACACGGCCCAGACUCCUACGGGAGGCAGCAGUAGGGAAUCUUCGGCAAUGGGGGCAACCCUGACCGAGCAACGCCGCGUGAGUGAAGAAGGUUUUCGGAUCGUAAAGCUCUGUUGUAAGAGAAGAACUGUGAGAGGAGUGGAAAGUUUCUCACUUGACGGUAUCUUACCAGAAAGGGACGGCUAACUACGUGCCAGCAGCCGCGGUAAUACGUAGGUCCCGAGCGUUGUCCGGAUUUAUUGGGCGUAAAGCGAGCGCAGGCGGUUUGAUAAGUCUGAAGUAAAAGGCUGUGGCUUAACCAUAGUACGCUUUGGAAACUGUCAAACUUGAGUGCAGAAGGGGAGAGUGGAAUUCCAUGUGUAGCGGUGAAAUGCGUAGAUAUAUGGAGGAACACCGGUGGCGAAAGCGGCUCUCUGGUCUGUAACUGACGCUGAGGCUCGAAAGCGUGGGGAGCGAACAGGAUUAGAUACCCUGGUAGUCCACGCCGUAAACGAUGAGUGCUAGGUGUUGGGUCCUUUCCGGGACUCAGUGCCGCAGCUAACGCAUUAAGCACUCCGCCUGGGGAGUACGACCGCAAGGUUGAAACUCAAAGGAAUUGACGGGGGCCCGCACAAGCGGUGGAGCAUGUGGUUUAAUUCGAAGCAACGCGAAGAACCUUACCAGGUCUUGACAUCCCGAUGACCGCCCUAGAGAUAGGGUUUCUCUUCGGAGCAUCGGUGACAGGUGGUGCAUGGUUGUCGUCAGCUCGUGUCGUGAGAUGUUGGGUUAAGUCCCGCAACGAGCGCAACCCCUAUUGUUAGUUGCCAUCAUUCAGUUGGGCACUCUAGCGAGACUGCCGGUAAUAAACCGGAGGAAGGUGGGGAUGACGUCAAAUCAUCAUGCCCCUUAUGACCUGGGCUACACACGUGCUACAAUGGCUGGUACAACGAGUCGCAAGUCGGUGACGGCAAGCUAAUCUCUUAAAGCCAGUCUCAGUUCGGAUUGUAGGCUGCAACUCGCCUACAUGAAGUCGGAAUCGCUAGUAAUCGCGGAUCAGCACGCCGCGGUGAAUACGUUCCCGGGCCUUGUACACACCGCCCGUCACACCACGAGAGUUUGUAACACCCGAAGUCGGUGAGGUAACCUUUUAGGAGCCAGCCGCCUAAGGUGGGAUAGAUGAUUGGGGUGAAGUCGUAACAAGGUAGCCGUAUCGGAAGGUGCGGCUGGAUCACCUCCUUU
rnacentral:rRNA from 1 species